ensembl:lncRNA
CAUGGCAACUGUAAACAUUGUGCGGGAGCAUGCCCGGUUGUCAUGGGAACUGUCUGCGGGAGCAUGAAGGCAGCCGGACGGAGCGCGUCUGCGGGUCACUGGCAACAUUAGCCGAAGAGAGAACUGUACAAAAAUAACAUUAGCAACACAUCAGCAUGUUACAAUCCACAGUUGCUCCAGUGGAGGGGAGGUUACGUCGCUGUGUGCCAAGCCUGCCAGCUAUCAAGCCAGACAGGCUGAAAACCGCUAAAGCACUGGUGGAGAAAGCAGUGAAGUGGAGGAAAGUGUUUUCAGUGCAGGGACCCUUAUCCUGUGAUCCGCGCUGCCUUAUGGGCCAGAGGGUGGGUGGAACGUCAUUUUCCCCAUCCGGUCCAGAGAGCCCCUCAUUACCAUGGCGAUGACGAAGAAGAUGGUGAUGACGGGGAUGGAGGUGCUGAUCUUAGUGACCAAAGAACUACAGACACUUCACAACCUGCUCAAACUCUUGGUACAGGACCUCACCACACGGGUCAAGAAGGUUUCCAUCUCAUUUCUACUCUGAAGAUCACCUUCUCCUGCUCAAACUGCUGACAAAUGUUUCUGCUGCUCUAAAGUCUGGUCUCCAGAACUUCCUAAAAACUCUCAAAGUCUCUUCUGCUGCAGGUUGCUUUGUAGAACUGUUUCAGAAAACCUCACUAAACCACAUGGAGG